AGAGUUUGAUCAUGGCUCAGAUUGAACGCUGGCGGCAGGCCUAACACAUGCAAGUCGAACGGUAACAGGAAGAAGCUUGCUUCUUUGCUGACGAGUGGCGGACGGGUGAGUAAUGUCUGGGAAACUGCCUGAUGGAGGGGGAUAACUACUGGAAACGGUAGCUAAUACCGCAUAACGUCGCAAGACCAAAGAGGGGGACCUUCGGGCCUCUUGCCAUCGGAUGUGCCCAGAUGGGAUUAGCUUGUUGGUGGGGUAACGGCUCACCAAGGCGACGAUCCCUAGCUGGUCUGAGAGGAUGACCAGCCACACUGGAACUGAGACACGGUCCAGACUCCUACGGGAGGCAGCAGUGGGGAAUAUUGCACAAUGGGCGCAAGCCUGAUGCAGCGACGCCGCGUGCGGGAUGACGGCCUUCGGGUUGUAAACCGCUUUUGACUGGGAGCAAGCCCUUCGGGGUGAGUGUACCUUUCGAAUAAGCACCGGCUAACUACGUGCCAGCAGCCGCGGUAAUACGUAGGGUGCAAGCGUUAUCCGGAAUUAUUGGGCGUAAAGGGCUCGUAGGCGGUUCGUCGCGUCCGGUGUGAAAGUCCAUCGCUUAACGGUGGAUCCGCGCCGGGUACGGGCGGGCUUGAGUGCGGUAGGGGAGACUGGAAUUCCCGGUGUAACGGUGGAAUGUGUAGAUAUCGGGAAGAACACCAAUGGCGAAGGCAGGUCUCUGGGCCGUUACUGACGCUGAGGAGCGAAAGCGUGGGGAGCGAACAGGAUUAGAUACCCUGGUAGUCCACGCCGUAAACGGUGGAUGCUGGAUGUGGGGACCAUUCCACGGUCUCCGUGUCGGAGCCAACGCGUUAAGCAUCCCGCCUGGGGAGUACGGCCGCAAGGCUAAAACUCAAAGGAAUUGACGGGGGCC
rnacentral:rRNA from 1 species